rnacentral:rRNA from 1 species
GAGUUUGAUCGUGGCUCAGAUUGAACGCUGGCGGCAGGCCUAACACAUGCAAGUCGAGCGGUAGAGAGAAGCUUGCUUCUCUUGAGAGCGGCGGACGGGUGAGUAAUGCCUAGGAAUCUGCCUGGUAGUGGGGGAUAACGCUCGGAAACGGACGCUAAUACCGCAUGCGUCCUACGGGAGAAAGCAGGGGACCUUCGGGCCUUGCGCUAUCAGAUGAGCCUAGGUCGGAUUAGCUAGUUGGUGAGGUAAUGGCGUCACCAAGGCGACGAUCCGUAACUGGUCUGAGAGGAUGAUCAGUCACACUGGAACUGAGACACGGUCCAGGACUCCUACGGGAGGCAGCAGUGGGGGAAUAUUGGACAAUGGGCGAAAGCCUGAUCCAGCCAUGCCGCGUGUGUGAAGAAGGUCUUCGGAUUGUAAAGGCACUUUAAGUUGGG